rnacentral:lncRNA from 1 species
CUGUAAUCAAUCAGCUACAGCAGGGAAUACCUAUUUCCAUAUGUAAGUGUUAAUAAAUAAAGGCUGGAUGUGCAAAAAAAAAAAAAAAAGGGUUAGGCACAAGGGGCUGGGGUUGGGGCUCAGCGGUAGAGAGCUCACCUAGCACUGUGAGGCCCUGGGUUCGAUCCUCAGCACCACAUAAAAAUAAAUAAAUAAAAAUAUUGUGUCCAACUACAACUAAAAAAAUAUUUAAAAAAGAGGCACAGUGGUAUAUGCCUAUAAUCAUGGCUAUUUAGGAAUCUUAGAAGGAAGGAUUUCAAGUUCAAGUUCAGUCUGGAUAACUUUUUUUUUUUUUAAUUGGUUGUUCAAAACAUUACAAAGCUCUUGACAUAUCAUCUUUCAUACAUUUGAUUCAAGUGGGUUAUGAACUCCCAUUUUUACCCCAAAUACAGAUUGCAGAAUCACAUUGGUUACACAGUCUGGAUAACUUUUUGAGACCCUGUCAAAAAAUUAAAAAUAAGAAGGGCUGGGCACAAUGGUGCAUGCCUUUUUAUCCCAGUGACUCGAGAGGCUGAGGCAGGAGGAUCACAAGUUGAGGUCAACCUCAGAUAUUUAGCAAGGGCUUAAACAACUUAGUAUUUAAAAUACAAUAUAAAACAAAUAUAAUAAUAUAAAAAGGGCUGGGGAUGUGGCUCAGUGGCUGAGCACCCCUGGGGUCAAUCCCUGCUACCCAAAACAAAACAACAAAAAAAGGAACUGGGGAUGUAACUCAGUGGUAGUAUCUCUGGGUUCAAUCCCUAGUGCAAAAAAAAAAAAAAAAUUGUGUAAGAGCUGGGCACAGUUGUGCACAUCUGUAAACUCAGCUACUUGGGAAGCAGACCACAAGUUCAAGACAAGCCUAGGAAAUUCAGUGAGAGCUUGUCUCAAAACAGAAAAAUUUUAGAAAGGGAGCUCUGUGGUAGAGUGCCCUGGGUUCAAUCCCCUGUACUGGGGGUAGGGGGAGACUGUAAGAAAUGAAUAGGAGGGUGUGGGGAGCCAUUCUCACACGUGAUUGGGCAACUCCUGGAUUGGGUGUGAGGCGCUCUGGCUAAACUGUGUCGGAGCUUUCCCGAUCCUCUCCUGGUGCGAGAGCCUGUCCGUGUGGGGGUGUGACUGACCACUGACCCUGGGGCCAAUCACUGACCCUGACCUUGGAGUGCUGCCCCCCUCAACCGUCAUUGGAUGGAAUUCUCCCCUGAAUUUCUUGUUCCCCAAUAAAAGGCCACUCCCUGGCGUGCUCGCGCUCUCUCUCUCCUGCUAGCCCUGAGUAAUCCCUGCUGCCCUACGGGUGAUUCGAGGUUGGAGCCAGAGGGAGAGCUGUCUUGGACCUGGUCAUAGAAAAAGGUAAUUGAGUCUGUGUGUUUAUUUUGAUCUCACUAGCUAACUUUUAUGCCAAGAACCUCUUUAAUGAAACCAGUGCGCUGGUCGCAUGGUGGAAGGAGGGCAUGGGUUUGAUCCCUAAUAGUGAAAAAAAAUGAGCAAAGGAAGAUGUAUAUACUUGUAUAUAAGUAUUUCAUUAUAUAAUAUAUAUAUAUAUAUACAUAUAUAUAUAUAUAUAUAUAUAUAUACAUAUAUUGAAUAUAUAUGUAUUCAUUAUAUAUAAUGAAUAACCCAGAAACUCAGAUUUUUUUUUUUUGUGUGUGUGUGUGUGUGUAUGCUGGGGACCUGAGACACAAGGACAUAACCUUUCCCAAGAGCUGUUUUUUAUAUUCUUUUUUCUUCUGGUUUCUCUAAACACCUCAUAGCCCUGCUUCCAGGAGACUCUGCUACAGUGGAGGCUACAACAGAUUCCCCGUGACUGCUCUGGGAGACUGCUUCAGUUUUACUGGCUUCGGACCUCCCCUAGGCUCUCCAGGUGGCUUUGUCUCAUAACCUGUCAGGAUGACUUCUCUGCAACUGUUUUAGAUGUCUCCAGUUCUUGAGAAACUCCUCCCACGACUAAGCAGUAAGUCUGCAGUUAGCUGGGGAGACACUGCACUGUACAAGCCCACCCUUUCCGUCUGUACGAGCAGCUCCCGCUCACCGUAUCGGUUCAGCCCAUGUGCUGUUUCUCCAUAUACUGCAACAUAAAGCUUGAUAAAGACUCUUUCUGAUAGUUUUAUUUUGCCUGUUGUGAUGUCUCUUUCGAGCAGAGCAGUCUAAGCUGAUUGCAGUUAGAGCUGGUAACACCAAGUGGCUACCACCAGGUUGUCAGCAGCCAGAUCUGAUAACACCAAAGAUUCAGUCAUUCCUGAGAGUGACUAGCAGCCAGAGAGCUUCGAAGAACUGCAGGAAAAGCUUCUAGAAGGGCUGCUAUCCCGAGGAGGAGGACAACUCAAACAGCAAUGGGGAGAGCUGCUAACACUAAGAGCUGAGAACUGCUGGCCCUCAAAGCACAGAGCUGUUAACACCAAG